GGAUGAUGGGAUUACUCUUCUUUGGGAAGCAAAGGGUAGCUAUGUGCAAUGGCCACGUGCUUGGGAGAGGUUGAUCAACGAGAUUUCGAAAAAAAGUCAACCAUCAAAGAGAAGGAAGGUGGAGAAGCCUAAAAGCGUUGAUCAACCUACAAAGAAGAUGAGUGAACAAGGGUCGAAGAGUGAACAAGUGUCGAAAAAGAAUUCUUAAAAAGGUUCAGCCAUGCAACCUACUCCACUUGUUGGAGACAAUGUCCUUCAAUCGCUCAUUAAGGAUUUAA